GGGUCGAGCGUAACGCAAGACAAGAGUCAUCAGCGGAAAAAAAGAAGGAAAAAAAGAAGGGGAAAAAAAGGAAAAAAAGAAGAAAAAGUCUU
rnacentral:ribozyme from 11 species